rnacentral:rRNA from 1 species
GACAGAGGGUGCAAACGUUGUUCGGAAUUACUGGGCGUAAAGCGCGUGUAGGCGGCUACGCAAGUCGGAUGUGAAAUCCCGUGGCUCAACCACGGAAGUGCACCCGAAACUGCGCAGCUGGAGUCUCGGAGAGGAAGGUGGAAUGCUUGGUGUAGAGGUGAAAUUCGUAGAUAUCAAGCGGAACACCGGUGGCGAAGGCGGCCUUCUGGACGAUGACUGACGCUGAGGUGCGAAAGCGUGGGGAGCAAACAGG